UACGUAGGGGGCAAGCGUUGUCCGGAAUUAUUGGGCGUAAAGAGCGCGUAGGCGGUCCGAUAAGUCGGCUGUGAAAGUCAGGGGCUCAACCCUUGAAAGCCGGCCGAUACUGUCGGACUAGAGUCCGGAAGAGGCAAGUGGAAUUCCCGGUGUAGCGGUGAAAUGCGCAGAUAUCGGGAGGAACACCGGUGGCGAAGGCGGCGACCUGGGUAGAUACUGACGCUGAGGCGCGAAAGCGUGGGGAGCAAACAGG
rnacentral:rRNA from 1 species